UCUCCGUUGGUGAACCAGCGGAGGGAUCAUCAACGAGUUAUACAACUCCCAAACCCUUUGUGAACCUUACCAUUUACGUUGCUUCGGCGGAACGCGCUGGUGUCGCCCUCACGGGUGCCCCAGGUCAACGCGCCCGCCGGGGACUACAAACUCUUGAUUUUGCGAAAGCAGUAUUCUUCUGAGUGGCCGAAAGGCAAAAAACAAAUGAAUCAAAACUUUCAACAACGGAUCUCUUGGUUCUG
rnacentral:misc_RNA from 1 species